AUUGAACGCUGGCGGCACGCCUAACACAUGCAAGUCGAGCGGUAGCAUGAGUAGUAGCAAUACUACUUGAUGACGAGCGGCGGACGGGUGAGGAACACGUAGGAACUUGCCUUUUAGAGGGGGAUAACUAAGGGAAACUUUAGCUAAUACCGCGUAAUCUCGAGAGAGUAAAGCUGCCCGCAAGGGUGGCGCUAAAAGAGAGGCCUGCGUCCGAUUAGCUAGUUGGUGAGGUAAUGGCUCACCAAGGCGAUGAUCGGUAACUGGUCUAAGAGGGCGACCAGUCACACUGGGACUGAGACACGGCCCAGACUCCUACGGGAGGCAGCAGUGGGGAAUAUUGGACAAUGGGGGCAACCCUGAUCCAGCGAUGCCGCGUGAGUGAAGAAGGCCCUCGGGUCGUAAAGCUCUUUAGGUUGGGAAGAAGGACGUUAGGUUAAUACCCUGAUGUUUUGACGGUACCGACAGAAUAAGCACCGGCAAACUCUGUGCCAGCCGCCGCGGUAA
rnacentral:rRNA from 1 species